AACGAACGCUGGCGGCAUGCCUAACACAUGCAAGUCGAACGAGAUCUUCGGGUCUAGUGGCGCACGGGUGCGUAACGCGUGGGAAUCUGCCCUUUGGUUGGGAAUAACUCAUCGAAAGGUGGGCUAAUACCGAAUAAUGCUGUGAGACCUCGGUUGAUCAGCCAAAGAGAGCCCCUGCUUGCAAGCCCUCGCUGAAGGAUGAGUCCGCGUACCAUUAGCUAGCUGGUAGGGUAAUGGCCUACCAAGGCGACGAUGGUUAGCUGGUCUGAGAGGAAGAGCAGCCACACUUGAACUGGAACACGGUCCAGAAUCAUACGGGGGGCAGCAGUGGGGAAUCUUGCGCAAUGGGGGCAACCCUGACGCAGCAACGCCGCGUGAGUGAGGAAGGUCUUCGGAUCGUAAGGCUCUGUCGGAUGGAAAGAACCGCAUAGGGGUAAACAGCCCCUGUGUCUGACGGUACCAUCAAAGGAAGCACCGGCUAACUCCGUGCCAGCCGCCGCAGUAACAC
rnacentral:rRNA from 1 species